CACAUACUCCCUUCGUUUGGAAUUACUUGUCGUACAAAUGGAUGUAUCUAGAUGUAUUUUAGUUCUAGAUACAUCCAUUUUCAAGACAAGUAAUUCCGAACGGAGGAAGUACAAC
rnacentral:pre_miRNA from 1 species